AUUGGGUCGAGCCAAUGACAAUAAAAAAGGCGCUGCUUGGGAGGCAACUCAAGGGGAGUUCAUUCCCUUCUCUUUCUUUUUAUUUUCAUUUAUGCAUUCUCUCUAGAUUUAGUCCAUGUAUUAUUCAUUGCAUUCCUUUUAUUUUCAUUUUCUGCAUCACCUUUUCCAUUGAAAACUUUCAGACUUUUUAUACUUCAACUCAUGUCAUUCACUUCGGCACUCAGGUGACAUCUUCCUUACCUUUAUUUGGAAAAUAUGUUUUUGCAUUGAGGACGAUGCAAUGUUUAGUUGGGGGGAGAGUUUAACUUAAAUUUUGUUGUGAAUUUUGAAUUUUGUUGUGAAUUGCAUAUUUUUCAUGGAACUUUGGCCUAAAUUUUUUUUUAAGCCCUUAAUGCGCUACAUGUUCUUGAAUGACAAUAUAUGCCACUAAGAAUUAAUAUUGUUUGUGAAAGUUUGGAUAUUGAGACAUUUGCUGAAUCCUUUUACGCACACAAGCCUUAUGUUAAGAUGGAAGUGUAACACAUGUAGGUAGAGGAGUCUCUUGUUGAAGUUUUCUUGUGUGAGAAUUGGUGAGGAUUGAGAGUCACAAUAUACUAAAAAUGUAGUAAGCGUUCAUUGAUUGUGUGAAUUGGGAAUUUCUUUUGAGAAUAACAUUAGAAGGUCUGUGGUAAG
rnacentral:lncRNA from 1 species